rnacentral:rRNA from 1 species
UACGUAGGGUGCGAGCGUUGUCCGGAAUUAUUGGGCGUAAAGAGCUCGUAGGCGGUGUGUCACGUCGGCCGUGAAAACCUGCAGCUUAACUGUGGGCGUGCGGUCGAUACGGGCAUCACUGGAGUUCGGCAGGGAGACUGGAAUUCCUGGUGUAGCGGUGAAAUGCGCAGAUAUCAGGAGGAACACCGGUGGCGAAGGCGGGUCUCUGGGCAGUAACUGACGCUGAGGAGCGAAAGCGUGGGGAGCGAACAGG